GAUGUUUUCGAAAUUUCGACUCCUCUAAAUCGGUAGCCAUCUAUUGCCGAUUUAGGAACUGCGUAGUGAUCGUCUUUAGUCUAAUGAGGAAAGGAAGUUGCACUCCUCUCGUUUUCAGCAGUAACAAUACGUAUUUAAUUGCAUUUUGAAAUGAGGAACAUUACCAUGUGCACGAGUCAAUGUUGAUCGUACCACUCAUGGUGUGGUUAACAUCUUAACAUGUGGCAAAAAAUGUGACAUGGUGUGGCACAAACAUGUGCUUGCUUUCGUUUUUGAUGUGCUCGGUAGGCCGCACAAGUAUUGAGCUUUUGUACAGUUACGUUGUCCUCAUUCAUUGAGACAUAUUUUUGGCUCCAAAAAAAGACAUGUUUAUUUUCCCAAAUAUAACUUCAAAAAUACAGGAACUGUAUUGUAAGAAAUUGUACCACGUGAAACUCGAUCAGUUUGGAAAACACCUCGUUCUUUUCGGCCAAGUUAGCCUUCCUGAUUGAUGAAUCAUGGGCUCCAAGUUUAGUUGUUGGCCCGAUCAAACAAAUGUAAUCGUUUCCCCGUCUUUUCCGCAAGACUGAGGGAAACACUCCUGAGUGAGUAUCUUGUACAAAUUCGUAUUCAUCCAGACGCAGUUUCCUUCACGAAGAAUACUCUCGGGUGUUAAUUCCAUGGGCUGGUAAUGAAAAUCGAACACUGGAUCGGAUACAGCCAACGUUUGUUCAAACCCCACGUUGACGUGCCAAUGUUUGAUAUCCAGUAUACUGUGAUUGCCAGGACAUUGAUCUACACUGGCCAAUAUUGUUUCUCAGCCAUGAGUAAAUAUUGGCAAAAAGGGUUUGGCUAGGCGCAGUUAAUGGCUACCCAAGCCGUGUGCAAUUACCUGACAGCGAUAACAAUUGGACCAGUAUGGGAAUGUUACCCAGAUACCCAAUGAUUGAGGAAACAGAGCAAAUCUCUUUCCAAAUCGCUGAUGACAAUUCUGGUGUCGAAGAGAGUUCCAAUCCUGGUACCGGGAUUUUGCUGGACAUAAAUAAUCACAAAACCAAUGCUUGUGUUACACCAGCAGAGCAAUCAAACAAUGCCAUAUCAAGAAUGAAUUCAAGUUCUACGUCGAAUAAUCGAGAAGAUUUGGGCCUCGAAACUCAACAAUGUCCAGCGGCAUUGAAACUGAAUGCUUCGUCAACUUCAGCCCGCGUACAAGAAAAGCGAUUAAUAAUUAACCGGGCGGUUUUAUUGUGGUCCAGCUUUAUUUGCUUCAUUUUCCUGGUCGGUGCCAUCUCCUUAGGGUAAG